rnacentral:lncRNA from 1 species
ACAGGUGGAUAGAUGUAAUAUAUAUCUUAGCCAAAUGGAUUUUACAUGCUUCCAUACUUAGCAAUGGACUCGUAAAGAUUUAGACUGUUGUUUCUUCACUUCAUCCUGUAGGUUCAACAAACACAUACUUCUCUUAUCAACCCGGCCACUUGAUGCUAUAUCAACAUUGGUUCUGAUACUUCAAAGAUCAGAGAACAGUCAUUACACACGGUGGAUAAUAAUAUUAUUGUAAGAUCACAUAUCAAGCAGUAGCAUGUACCUUGUGUUGUUACAAUGCAAUACAUGUUUCAAAGAUAUAUAGCAGCC